UCAGCUUGGGGGUCGGAAAGGGAAGUACCAAAAAGACCUGGAGAGGGCCUUUCCCCGUUCCUCUUGGCACCUGGAGAACCCUUGGCAGACGGCUGUCCACUCAGCGCGCGCAAGGACCCCGCGCGCAUUUCCCCCGAGUCUGAGUUCUCUGGAGGGGAAAGGGGGUUGUGGAUUAGCCCCUCCAGCCGCAGCUGAUACGCGCGGCUAGUUGCCUGGGGGGGUGGUGGUGACAAACGCUCGCCAGCGCUCUCCAUAAGCGCUCACACUACCAAGCCCUUAGGAGCAAGACUCAAAAAGGAUGCGCUUUGGUGAGAACUUGGCUCGGUCCUUCCUUGAACACGGAGAUAGGUCCUGGCUCAUCCCCCUCCAAUCAUAUCUCCAAAGCACUAUACCAGUAAAGACUUAGUUUGAAAUAUAUAGGCUUCCCAGGUGGUGCAGUUGGUAAAGAAUCCACUUUACCAAUGCAGAAGCCUCAAGAGACAAGACUCCAGUUUGACCCCAGGUUAAAAGAGAGAUGCUUACUGAAAAAGUGGGUUCAUACUAGGCAGAUUUGACUCCCUGGCACCUGAUCACAGCUAACCUUUGAAGAGCAUAUGGCAUUCCUCUCCUGGGAAGGGGGUCUUGUCAGAAUGCAUGCACACUCAGGACUUUCUAGCUAGGAAUCUGUCCACGGCACACUUUCCUGAAGCUCGAGGAGACAUCUGAUUUUCUCUAACAAAAAGGGAGGCAAAAAAGAAAAAGAAUGAAAAGGAUAGGAGCAAUAGAUAUCCAUCACUCACCACAACAGUGACGACUCACAUUACUUUGUUAGAGCCUUGGAAAUAGUUUAAUUUUUUCACAAACUGUGUCCUCAUACACAAACUGCUUCCCUGGUCAUCUUGCAAAUUGGAUUGUUUGAGUGAAAAUUAUCUUUCAUGAUUUCAAUUCAAAUGAGUUGCAUGUAUUUCAUAAUUUAAUCUGGGGGUAUUAAUCUAGCAGCGCAGGGGGAAUGUCUCUGAAAAUAGUAUAAGGAAGGCCUAGAGCUUUUUCAUCAGCACUAAAAAACGAUCAGUGUAGGUCACGAACAAUAAUAGUACUAUCAUCACUACUAUAAGCAAUAUUGUAUAUACAUUACAAAGUGGCAAAAAUGAUAGGCAGGGGGACUGACACUUGUACUUGUUCUCUUGUACUAAUACUUUCUUACUGAAAAGCCAACUUCCACAUUGAUUUGCUAGUCUUCUGGUGAUGUCAUAUAAAGGUAACCAAGAUAUAAUUCAUAAUGUCCUCUAAAGUUUUAAAGAAAACCCAUACUUUAAAAAUAAAUAAUCCAGAAUUGUGGGAAAAAAUUCACAAAUUCUUAAGAAGAAUAAAUA